rnacentral:lncRNA from 1 species
GAUGAUAAAUCAUUUAGUUUUAGGUGUUAGCUCAAUGUCAUAAUCAUUCAUAUUUUAACUUCAAUUUUAUUUUUCCUUCUCAAGCAUGUCUUAAUGAUUGUAGUUUUGAGUUGAUUUUCUGUGAAGAGACGAAACAAAAACUCAUUCUCCAAAUGUAGGAAUCAAAGAAAAAUAGAAGAAAUUCAAAAAUUCAAAAAAGAAGAUUAUUUAAAUGAGGCUCAGAUCUGUUGUGGCGGAGAUCGGGCAGAUGAACACCGCCAUGGCUGCGAAACCACGGUUGCAUCUGAUGAACAGAUGCCGUCCGGGUCGCCCCGCCAAGAUAUGGGUCUCACCUUGCCCGAUCCACUAGCUCAGAAGAAUCCAAAAUCAUCAUCACAGCCCUUAUAUAACUGAGAGAGAGAGAGAUUGAGAGAGAGAGAGAGAGAGAGAUGAUAGGGUGCGUUCACUUUGUAUGUGUGAGUGUGAGCGAGUAAAUGGGGGCUAUGAAUAUAAUCACCAUAUUCUUCUUCUACAAGGGCGGUUGGGAUUUUUUCACCAGAGAAAUCAUUGGGUUAACAGAGAGGGGCAACCACCCUUGAAGAAAUUCCCAAUUUCUCGCUGUAAACCCUCAUUCUUUUCUUCUGAGUCACUAUCCCCCAAUUUCUUGUAUUCACACAGAAAAUGGAGAAUAGAAUGGAACAGAUGCAAUGAAAAGAAGAAGAAGAAGAAGAAGCGCCGCUACAAUGUUAGGGUUUGCUGUCAUUUUAUUUGUUCUCUACUCUAUUUUUCAAUUUUUUUAAUAAUUUAAAAAUUCACUUGUAUUUAGAAUGGUGGGCUUUUUGCUCAGUUUGAUUUUUAUUGGGCUUUCAGCUAAUUCUGAUUUUUUAUCCUAUUUUUCAACAGUCGUGAUAACUAUUUUUAUGUCAGAAAAAUAAAAUUUUAGCUCCGAAGUAGUAUUUACAUGUAUCUCAUGCAAGAUACUUCACCAAAAUUUUAUAGCAUUCUAUAAAUUUAUUAAAUUUCUGCAUGUAUAUUUUCAAUAUUAUUUUUAAGUAAUUCUA